ensembl:lncRNA
GUUUAUUUUUUUUCCUCUAGUUGGUAAUAUAAAAUGCUGAUAGAAAUGUAACGGAUGUAAGUUUCCCUGCAUUAAAAGUCCCCGACCACUAGGCGCGCCGCCUCGAGCAUUUUCUUGUUUGCUUAUGGCUUUAUGCAGCUCGUUGAGUAUGGUCUUAGUGCCAGCAUCGGUUUGUGCUGGUAAAUAGACAACUACGAAGAAUGUAGAUAAACUCUCUUGGUAAAUAGUUUGCAGCUCGCCUAUGAUUUGAUUCUCUGCCUGUGAUUGUGGACAGAGGUAGCCAAUGGCAGUGAGAGGGGUUUCUUGCUCUCUUGGUGUGUGUUGAGCGCUGACAGCAGAAGAGAGUACGGAGCCCAGCAACAGAAAGCUUACCACACAUUUCCCCAGUCUGUCUUGACGAGAGCACAAGUCUACACCAUGGACCGCCUCUCCCUUGCUUCUUCUCUAGAUAACGAUGACGACACAACUCAAAAAGAGGACACAUGGAAUAUCUGAGGAAAAACAAAACCAUGGAGGGAAAGAAAAUUCCCAGACCAACCAGCCCUAAAGGAUCUAACAUUCUAAAAUGACAACCAUGACCACACCUCAGCACCGGUCCAGACGUUAAAGGACCAAGAACGCACCAGGGGGGACUCCAGAGCUGACCCAUGCCUUCGCCGAGGAGGUUCUUGGUGGCGUCCACCUCGCUGCCCGUAGCCUUGGGCUGGGGCUGGAACCUGAGCGUGUACCUGGGGCUGUUGCUGCUACUGCUCCUGCUCAUGGGGCUCCUGCUCUGGAUGCUCCUCAAGCAGCUGAGGAACUCUGUGGGAUCUAGUCUGCAGCCCGGGCGCUCUCUGAGAGACCCUCGCCAUGGUCAGAGAGGAAACUAUGUCCUGUAAAGGAAGAAUACGAGUGUGCUGACUUUGUUGGACUGUGUCUCCAUCUUGUUGGAUGGAAAGACUGACUUCUCCAGACUUGUAUUUAGACUGUGCCUAAAAAGACCUUUGUUAUAAGGAAAUUAUGUUGUUGUUUUUUUAAAUGAUGUUGGGCUUUGCCUCGCAGCUUGUUCAAUGGAAAGACAGUAUUUUGAAGAUCAAGAAUUCUAUUGGACUGUGCCAAAGACACUGUUGGAAGGAAAUACUCUCUUUUCUGAUAGGGUGAAAUACCUUUCUUUUCAAGAGGUGUCAGACUAUGCUUUAAGGACCGAUUUAUCCUUGAGCGGAUGGUCGAGGGGGCUGGAACAUAGUUAUAAAUCAUUUGUACACUGUAAAUUGAAUUCAAGAAUUCCAAUCAGAAUCAUUUUAAAAUUGGAUACAAUCACACAUUGUCUAUUUAUGCGUGGUAAUAUUUGGGAACAGAUUUCCUAAAUUAAAAUCACUCUGACAUUUCCUGGGGAUUUUACUGUCUUAUGUCAAAGAAUGAAAAUGAUUAAUAAUAGUAAAAUAUGUGUUUAUUCUUUGCUCAGAAAACUUGGGCCAAAUAAAAUCACUGGCAGGACGAAUUUGGCCCGUGGCCCGCCUUUUGGGGAACCCUGCUGUAG